UGACCUCCUGGUUCAUAAGUUGACGCUCAGCCACUGAGCCACACCCACUGGGCUGUAAGUGGGUUUUUCAGGUCACAGCCAAGGACAGAGGUCUCCUUGUUUCUGUGGCUCUGAGAAGCUGGUGCACCUUCCCUUGGCCAGCAGGACGUCUUCAAGGACAAGCACGGGUGUCGGCCAGUCUCCCCGUCUACUCAGACCCAGGGCUCCGCACAGGAAAGAGACUGAUGGCCGCUUGUCACCUUCCAAGGCAGUAACUCCUGAUGUCUUCUGCUCCGGAGGAGAGGCAGGCAGGUGAUUGAGAAGACAGCCUUUAUCUCCACUCCACGUGCUCUGCAAGGAGUGGAUUCCACGCAGUUGGGCCUCCUCUGAGAUUUCCUGCUGGUUCUGGAAUGACCUUGGGCGUCGAGGCCGACCUUCAGUGCUUUGCCCACAGGACGGAGUGGGGGCUCGGACCCCGGCCCUGCACACACUGAGCAAUACAGUGUCUGACUCGCAGAUGCCACCAAAAGGGCACCAGCCGCAGAGAAGUGCACAAAGUGAGAAAUGAAAGCGUCUCUUCCGCGCUGCCCGCCCUCGCCGAGAUGCGGUCGCUGCCUCCCCAUCAGAAAAUCACCCCAAUUACCAUCACAGGGCCGCUCGCCUUGAGUAUUGUGCCGGGGGCUUGGCGUGCCGCCGACUGCUUGACAAGCGUCUCCCAUCAUUCUCGCAAUGAGCCAUGGCGCACGGGCUAGGAUGCCCCGGUUUGCAGAGGAAGAAACCAAUGGUCAGAGUGGCUCAGGUCACACCCUGGAGAGCAGCAGAGCCUGGACGGCCGCCCAGGGCUGGGUGACUGCAGCUGAGGUGCGCUCUGGGCUCCCCACCCAGGAGGCAAGGACUGGCACAGGAAGAGAAAGGUCAUCUCGGGUCUCCGGGCUCGGGCCUGCCUCCAGCCAGUGCCUGGGCGUCGCCAGAGCCGCUGCACAGAGGGCAAGGCCUGGAGGACUGGAAACCCUAUGCACAGAUGGGAAGACUGAGGCUCCGAGCCAGGCCUGUGCCCUCCUGCCGCACCUCACGUUCACCUCAUCACAUCACACCCCUUUCUCCCCCGGCACCCGCGCCCUCCCUGUGCUGAAGGGCCCCUGCCUACCCGACCCCAGAGCCUGGCCUGAGGCUCUGGAACCCCUUCCAUCCGCUAGUUGCCCGGACGCCUCGAAGGCUUCGAGCUUACGGCUACUUAGGAAAGGUUCACACCAAAUAGCUGAAGCUCACGUUUCCCUCUGGAAUGGGAAGUCGGCCCCCGGCCUGGAUUAAGGGCCGCUUUCGGGAAUUAAAGGGCUUGGGCGUGGAAACAGGUUGGCGGAGGAUCGUGAGUGUCCGUCUAGAUAGGCCUCAUGGGCGAUCUCAGUUACGCCCUCCUCUAAGUUUGACUGUGUUCCCGUUUCCCUUAUAACUCAGUCAGUGGUGGAGCAGCCGUAGCAUUUGGUGUCCCCCCCAUCCCCAUGCCCUCCAGACCCCCCUCUAAUCUCAGGCGGCCCAGGAUGUUCCUAAACAGCCCAACGUCCUGCUCCUGGGCAUCUCGUCCUCACUGCAGACCCGGGUGCUGCACAGAAUGGACGCUGAGAGAGGGGCUGCGGGAGAGUGGCCGGGCAGCUCCCUCGGAGAGGCCCCCGUGCCCUGGAAACAGCUAUUGUCCCCGCCCUGCCUGAGGUUGGCUCUUCAGGGGAAGUCCACCACUGCUCUUCCACACGCAGGAUGACCACCUGGGACCAGGGAACAUGCCAGAAAAGCAGCCCAGGGCUCGGUCCUGCCCCGAGAUUUCCGUUAUCCUGGAGGCCAGGCUGGAGAGAGAGGCCAGAGGGCUCCUCUCAGCUGUCAGGGCCCCGCUGGGGCCUGAAACUGAUGUCCACUUAAGUGGCCUCCCGCCUUGGAGAGAAAAAAUGUGACCCCACGAAGCAAACCUGGUCUCUAAAACCGGCCCCAUCCUCUCAAACACACCACGGGUAACAGCGAAGCACCCCCCACCCCUCUACCCAAAGCCGAGGCGCGUCUGAAGACCCCAGAGACCAGUUCCGACCCAGCCACACGGCUCUGGGCAGAUAACUCAGGCGGCUCCAGGGCGCCCAGUUCCUUCCCUGAGCGUCCGCCACGUGGGCUCGCAGGGCUGGAGCCUGGGGCCCAGCCGUGGCCUCUGCUGAUCCCGACAGCAUGCUUGCUUUGUCAAAGAGGCGCCUGAUGGAAUUCCCUCUGCUUUUGAUUGAUUGGUUGGUUGAUUUUAAAGAGAGAGAGGAAGGAAGAGAGAGAGAAAUCAAUUGGUUGUUCCAAUUAUUUAUGCAUUCACUGGUUGCGGGAAUCAGACCCACAACCUCAGCGUACCAGGACGACUCUCUAACCCCUGAGCUACCCAGCCAGGGCUCCUCUGCUUUCUCAGCAACCUCGGGGGGCAGGGGAGGAAGAGGAUCCAAGAGCCACGAGCCCAAUCUGAGGCAACACGCAAGCCCUCUAGGAGGUCACGUGGCCAAGGAGGACUCAGAGGUCCCUUCCGGACAUGCCUAAAGCCCCCCUCUGCCCCUGGUGAGGACCUGACCCCUCACCCCAGACCAGCAAGCUCCACACCCAAGCAGCCCCCCGAAGCUUGCUCCUGAACAGUACUCACAU